UACGUAGGGGGCUAGCGUUGUUCGGAAUCACUGGGCGUAAAGGGCGCGUAGGCGGCGCGACAAGUCAGGCGUGAAAGCCCCGGGCUCAACCCGGGAAUUGCGCUUGAUACUGUCGUGCUUGAGGCCGGGAGAGGAUGGCGGAAUUCCCAGUGUAGAGGUGAAAUUCGUAGAUAUUGGGAAGAACACCGGUGGCGAAGGCGGCCAUCUGGACCGGUUCUGACGCUGAGGCGCGAAAGUGUGGGGAGCAAACAGG
rnacentral:rRNA from 1 species